rnacentral:tRNA from 1 species
GUCUUUGUGGUGUAGUGGUCAGCACGCUCGACGCGCAUUCGAGAGAUCCGAGGUUCGAGUCCCGGCGAGGACA